rnacentral:lncRNA from 1 species
AGCUGCGACAGAGGGAGGCCUGGUGUUAAAAGCAGAACUACUGGCUACAAAGGCCCCUUUGCCGACCUCCUCCUGCAGUCCUGGAGAAGGGACAGAUCAGCUUCAAGGCGGAUGAAUGGCCACCCUAGCUGGAUCUUUCUUGGCUAAUUUGAAAGUUCACUAGAGCGCUUUGGAACAGUGACUGGUUUGAUCAGUAGUUUCCAUCCCCCAAACUGGGUCACAGCCAAGGAGAAAGGCUCCCCAGAUCCCUAGUCUCUCCUCACCCGCUCAACCGAGUGUCCAGGCUCCACCCCCACUCCAGCUCCAUUUCGGAAAGCUACCUGCCUGUCUUGGAUUGUCACUGUGCCAGUCCCCUGCAAUGGAAAAGCCUGGCCUUGGGCAGCGCUGGGAAGGAAGAGAGCAGCUUGCCGGGGUCUGCAAUGCCUAACGUGUGCGGGGAGAAGAGCUGACACGAGAGGCAAGGCUGGGAGACGCUCUUCAGAGAUGGCAAACCUGUCCCAUAGGCAGAGCCAGAUGGGAAAGGAUAGCAGUUCCAAGCCCUCCGAAUGCCAUUUCCCAGUUGUUUCACUCAGUAUCCACAGUUCUCAGGAGCCAAGGCUGGGCACCUAGCAGGAGGCCCAUCCGUCACCUCAGUGCUGCCAUUUGAGCUAAAUUGGUCAUUUCGGGGUGAUCAAAAGGCCUUCUGGAGGGCCAGUAGCAGAUGAAUACCUAGACUCCCCUGGGAUCAGGGUUUCUCUGGGUCCCAAUCACACAGGGAACAAGAAUGCAUAGAUCCUAUAUUUUCAUUCAUUCAUUCAUUCAUUCAUUCGUUCGUUCGUUCGUUCGUUCGUUCGUUCGUUCAUUCAUUUGUAUUUAUUGAGCACUUACUGUGAGUAGAGCACUAUACUAAGCACUGUCAGAGUACAAUACAACAAUAAGCAGACACAUUCCCUGCCCACAAUGAUCUUAAUAUAAAUGAAUAAAUAAAUUGUAUAUGUAUAUAAGUGCCGUGAGGCUGGGAGGGGGAAUGAAUAAAGGGAACAAGUCAGGGUGACGCAGAAAGGAGUGGGAGAAGAGGAAAGGAGGGCUUAGGGAAAGCCUCUUGGAGGAGAUGUGCUCCAUCCCAUUUUUCUCCUAGUGACAUUAUUUACUCUGUGCCAAGCACUGUCCUGAGUGCCAGGAUGGCUGCAAGAUCACCAGAAAGGACUUGGGGUUUAUAAUCUAAGAGUGGGGAGAGCAGGUAAUUUUCCCUAUUUACAAUUGAGGAACUGAAGUACAGAUGGUUUAAGUGACUCGUCCCAGGACACACAGCAGCAGAACUGGGACAAGAAACCCUGGUCUUCUGACUCCCAGUUCCACAUUUUUUCCAAGAGACCAAAUUCUCCAGGAGGUAGGGACCAAGGAGGUGGGCCUCAAUGAUGAUAGAUGAAAGAGGAAUUGGUCCUGCACAAAGAAUUGCCUUUUGUGCUCUGUGGAGCCCAGUUGUCCAUGAUGGGGAGUAGACAGGGCAAUGGAGAAGCAGGGAUGGGCUGACAGAGUUCUGUCCUGCCAGAAGUCAUCAGGAGGGCUUCCUUUGCCCCUCUGCAUUAGAUACUGCGAUGUGAAAUGGCACUAAGGAGCUUGGUGAAAGGGUUGACCAGCUGUUGCUGUUGCAGUGAAGUGGCUGUGUGAUAGAACAUGGGGGCAGAGAGGACAGGUGCUUUGUAAGAAGAGGGUGGUCUAGUGGAAAGAUCGUGGGCUAGGGAGUCGGAGGACCCGGGUCUUAAUCCUGGCUCUGACACUUGCCUGCUGUGUGUACUUGGGCAAGUCACUUAACUUCUCUGUGUCUCAAUUUCCUCAACUAUAAAAUGAGAACUCAGUGCCCAUUCUCUUUUUUAUGAUGCUUGUUAAGUGCUUACUAUGUGCCAGGCACUGAAUUAAAUGCUGGGGGUAGAUAAAAGCUAAUCAGGUUGGACACAGUCCAUGUCCCACAUGGGGCUCACAGUCUUACUCCCAGUUUUGUAGAUGAGGUCACUGAGGCACAGAGAAGUUAAGUGAUUUGCCCAAGGUCACACAGAAGAUAAGUGGCGGGGCUGGGAUUAGUCAGUUCCCUCUGACUCCCAGGCCCGUGCUCUAUCCUCUAGGCCACACUGCUUCUCUGUUCUCCCUUCUAGGUAGGCACACAGAUUGGGUUUGACCUGAUUAACAUAUCUUCACCAGCACUUAGUUCAGUGAUUGACACAUAUAGUAAGCACUUAGCAAAUAUUAUCACUAUUAUUAAGUAGUUUCCCAGGUUGAGAUGAAUGCCUCUGGGCAACGGAAAGGAGGUAACUAUCUCAGGAAGGGCAUUAGCCUGCAGAAUUAGUCCCAAAAGUGAGUCUGCCAGCCUUCUGAAUGAGAAGGACUCUUGAGAGGGCUUCUGGUCAUAACAGAGCCAGGGUCCCCUAGGGUAAAAAGAAAUUCCCCCC